rnacentral:rRNA from 1 species
GACAGAGGGUGCAAACGUUGUUCGGAUUUACUGGGCGUAAAGCGCGUGUAGGCGGCCUUGCAAGUUGGAUGUGAAAGCCCACGGCUCAACCGUGGAAGCGCAUCCAAAACUGCAUCGCUCGAGUCUCGGAGAGGAAGGUGGAAUGCUUGGUGUAGAGGUGAAAUUCGUAGAUAUCAGGUGGAACACCAGUGGCGAAGGCGGCCUUCUGGACGGUAACUGACGCUGAGACGCGAAAGCGUGGGGAGCAAACAGG